rnacentral:lncRNA from 1 species
AUCUUAAAAAAUGGACUUCAAUAUCUUAGAACCCACAUUAACCAAAAGCUUAUAAUAGAUGUAUCUACAGUCAAACUUGAAAGAAAGUUUUAUUGUGCAUACAUGAUUUUAUUGAAGUUGAUCCUUGUGAAGGUGUAGUUAUUAUUAUUAGUAUUAUUACUACUUCUACUAACAUUAGUAUUAUUUCCAUCUUUUUUUUCUUUUUUUUCUUUCUUAUUUUCUUAUGUUUUUGAAAUAUAAGCUUUGUAUUAUAUAACAUCCAUGGUUUACAAAACACACACACACUCACC